ensembl:lncRNA
GUCUCCCUACGUUGCUUGGAGCACGUGUAUAUUCACCUGAGUCCUUUGCUGUCUGGGCCUCCCCUUGGCCUCUGAGGGGCUGAGACUGGAAAGUCAGGUAUCAUCUUCUGAGGUCCAUUCUACAUUACCUUUGGCCCAUCUCCCACUGUGGAACUCAGCCCUGUCCCUUUGUUCCAUGAGCUUCAGGGGCUGCAGCAGGUGCAGGCAUCGUAACGGACCCCUUUGACACGAUCGGCCACUUGGUCUGGACCUGACCUGAUUCCUGAGUCCCGUGUGAGGCAACCUGUGGUUGACCUUGGUCAUCCGUGGGCUCCACUAUGUCGGGCACUCAUGGGAGAAUCUCCAGGGGCCAUCACCAGCAAUCUGGGAAGCAGCCCACUGCAGUGACAGCCCGCGGGGGAAGCACAGGCCUGGGUGAGGACUUGGAAGCCUCUUUGGUCGCUGGAAGAUAGAGCCUUUCAGGAUUGGGUGCAGCUGCUGGAGACCUGUGUAGAUUCCCCAAGACCAUGUUCUCAGGCCUGCGCCUCUGCCCCAGCUGGGCCCCAGGAGCACAGUAGCUGGGACAGGAGCCGGUCAGGGCUGCCCCUCUCGGGAGGGGCCUCGGCCCAUUGCGGAGGGAGGCGGGGUCCAGCCCAGGGGCUGCAGGCCCCGCGAUGGGGCAAUGCCUUGCAG